UACGAAGGGGGCUAGCGUUGCUCGGAAUCACUGGGCGUAAAGCGCACGUAGGCGGGUCGUUAAGUCGGGGGUGAAAUCCUGGAGCUCAACUCCAGAACUGCCUUCGGUACUGGCGACCUUGAGUCCGGGAGAGGUGAGUGGAACUCCGAGUGUAGAGGUGAAAUUCGUAGAUAUUCGGAAGAACACCAGUGGCGAAGGCGACUUACUGGGCACAUAUUGACGCUGAGGUGCGAAAGCGUGGGGAGCAAACAGG
rnacentral:rRNA from 1 species